GCUGGCAGCUAGGUCUCUGCAACUCUAACAUGGUCACCAAUUGAAGCUAAGCAGAGCUGUGCCUGGUCAGUAGCCGGAUGGGAGACCACAUGGAAAAACUACUGUAGGUUGCUGCUGGAA
rnacentral:rRNA from 1 species